UCUCCGUUGGUGAACCAGCGGAGGGAUCAUUAACGAGUCCACAACUCCCAAACCCUAUGUGAACAUUAUCUUUUUUUGCUUCGGCGGGAACGCACUGGAGCUUAACGGCGACGGACCUCUGAGUACGCCGGAGGAGCAAAACUAAUGCUUAUUUAUGUUUCCUUAUCCAGUGGUACAAGCAAUAAAAAUCACACCUUUCAAAAACGGAUUUCUAGGUUCUGGCAUCGAUGAAGAACGCAGUAGAUCGGUAGAGCAUGCGUCUGAACUCCAGCCAAUUCG
rnacentral:misc_RNA from 1 species